rnacentral:rRNA from 1 species
UACGUAGGGACCGAGCGUUGUCCGGAAUCAUUGGGCGUAAAGCGCGUGUAGGCGGCCCGGUAAGUCCGCUGUGAAAGUCCAGGGCUCAACCCUGGAAUGCCGGUGGAUACUGUCGGGCUCGAGUCCGGAAGAGGCGAGUGGAAUUCCUGGUGUAGCGGUGAAAUGCGCAGAUAUCAGGAGGAACACCGAUGGCGAAGGCAGCUCGCUGGGACGGUACCGACGCUGAGACGCGAAAGCGUGGGGAGCAAACAGG